UUAAAUUGAAGAGUUUGAUCAUGGCUCAGAUUGAACGCUGGCGGCAGGCCUAACACAUGCAAGUCGAACGGUAACAGGAAGCAGCUUGCUGCUUCGCUGACGAGUGGCGGACGGGUGAGUAAUGUCUGGGAAACUGCCUGAUGGAGGGGGAUAACUACUGGAAACGGUGGCUAAUACCGCAUAACGUCGCAAGACCAAAGAGGGGGACCUUCGGGCCUCUUGCCAUCAGAUGUGCCCAGAUGGGAUUAGCUUGUUGGUGAGGUAACGGCUCACCAAGGCGACGAUCCCUAGCUGGUCUGAGAGGAUGACCAGCCACACUGGAACUGAGACACGGUCCAGACUCCUACGGGAGGCAGCAGUGGGGAAUAUUGCACAAUGGGCGCAAGCCUGAUGCAGCCAUGCCGCGUGUAUGAAGAAGGCCUUCGGGUUGUAAAGUACUUUCAGCGGGGAGGAAGGUGUUGUGGUUAAUAACCGCAGCCCACGCCGUAAACGAUGUCUACUUGGAGGUUGUGCCCUUGAGGCGUGGCUUCCGGAGCUAACGCGUUAAGUAGACCGCCUGGGGAGUACGGCCGCAAGGUUAAAACUCAAAUGAAUUGACGGGGGCCCGCACAAGCGGUGGAGCAUGUGGUUUAAUUCGAUGCAACGCGAAGAACCUUACCUGGUCUUGACAUCCACAGAACUUUCCAGAGAUGGAUUGGUGCCUUCGGGAACUGUGAGACAGGUGCUGCAUGGCUGUCGUCAGCUCGUGUUGUGAAAUGUUGGGUUAAGUCCCGCAACGAGCGCAACC
rnacentral:rRNA from 1 species